UACGGGGGGAGCAAGCGUUGUUCGGAAUCACUGGGCGUAAAGGGCGUGUAGGCGGUCAGGUAAGUGGAAUGUGAAAUCCCUCGGCUCACCCGAGGACCUGCAUCCCAAACUGCCUGGCUUGAGUAUGGGAGAGGAUGAGGGAAUUCCUGGUGUAGUGGUGAAAUGCGUAGAUAUCAGGAGGAACACCGGUGGCGAAGGCGCUCAUCUGGCCCAAUACUGACGCUGAGGCGCGAAAGCUAGGGGAGCAAACGGG
rnacentral:rRNA from 1 species